CAAAUAGAGUGUGCUGUGGGACAGUUCUUCCCUGAUGUCCCUGACACCAUCACCUAACUCAGAGGCAGCCAGAGGGGAGUCCAGGCUAUAGUCAAGCCUUUCGCUGAAACUGGUAUUAUCAAAGACCUCAGGCUUUAAUCACUACUCCAGGAGACAGAAGGGGCAGGAAGGCAGGUUCUGUGUUCAUUCAGCUACCUGCUCAGCUAAAUGAUUUGGAAACCAGCUCUGUAGUUAGACUGCCGGGUUCUAGUCCUGAGCUCCUUCCCUGACUACCCUCGAGGCUGAGAGCAAGUUACCCAGUGCCUCAAUUUCUCCACCUGCAAAAUGAGGGGGGUCACUGGAACUGGGCUGCAAUGGAGAUGGAAUGAGAGAAUCCAUAUGCACCUGGCACAUAAGAACGGCUCAGAAGAUGGUAGCUGCUAUGAGCAUUAUUUUUUCCAGUUAGGAACUAAGGAUCCUGAAAUCUCAAGCUAUUCAAGGUGAAGUUAACAAGAAGAGAAUCGCCAAGUCUCAGGGUACAGAAACUUACUGACACCCUCAGUGAAAUCGAACCCAGCUCCUCCAAGGCUGGCGGUAGAAGUGAAAUUCUCACAGGGGUAGGGAAGGGUUGCAACCUUCCUCACUCACAGGGGCACCAGUGAGAUGCAGGAGAAACCUCCAGGGAAAGGUGAAUCUUGGGAGACAGAGCCAAGAGAUCCCGCCAUCCUUCCCAUGGGGAGAAUCUCCUGGCAGCCAGAGCCAACCUCGAAGGAAGCGGAUUUGAUUUUAUUAAGGAAGUCAACACGUUUCCUUCCAUCCAACGUGGACUCUGUGUUGUUUAGAUUAUUGGUUUCCAGGAUGUGAAAUGUCAUCCUAGGACAGAACCUGGAAAAAAACGGGCCAAAUGCCUCUUUAGAGAGCUUCAGCCAACUAUUGAAGAAAGUGGAGCCUGCCUUCCGGAUACUUAACAACCAAACCAUAUGCCAUUCAGAGAGCAACAGUAACAACUGAGGUCCUGGGCUCAGUGCUGUGGGAAGAUACAAAAAAAAAGCACAAGCAUCUGCAUCAGUCACUAUGCUUAAGAAAGUGUGCGGAGAGAGAGAAGAGACUAGGACGGGAUGCACACAGCACAGCCACUAUGUUGUGAGGAAGCCCAGGCAACAUGGAGAAGCCACGUGUGGAUGUUCCUGCCAACAGGCACCUAGCUGGUAACCAGCCUCAGUAACCAGUGAGUGAGUAAAGGAGUGAGUAAAGGAGCCUGUGAGAGACACCAGCCCCCAGCCUUCAUCAACAACUGUAAUCUGAAGCCCCAGACAUCCCAGGGCAGAGAAUAGCCAUCCUCACUGUGUUUGGUCUGAAUUACUAACCAAUAGAAAUCUUGAGAUAAUAAAUGAUU